AGUACUCGGAGUACCUGUCGUACUCGCCUCACUCAGGACUCACCUUGCAGUUGGGGCUCGACUUCUUGAAAACUCUGCGGUUUGGAAAGAGGAAGCAGAAGCAGAGUUAGUGGGUCUGGUUUCAUUCGAGUGUCUCUUCUGGGGCGACGCAAGCAGAGCUGACCGGUGCUGCACGGACGACAGGGAGCGCUGGGGGAGGUUGGCGGUUCAAACCCCGGCUGACACAAACCUCUAAUUGCUUCUUUUUUUUAAAUGCAAUGUAAGUCGCUUUGGAGAAAAGCUUCAGCUAAAUGACCUGUAAGGUGAUCAGGAACACGUGAAGUGAUCCCUUCAGAUUGAGCUUCCAUCGGAUCAUCAGAUCUACUCUACUGAUUAUUGAGAACCAGUUUUCAGAGCGUCGUGGGAUUUUGGUCGUGAGCGGCGGCGCGACUCCACGCGGGAUCGUGAUUGACAACGAGGCAGCUGCUCGCCCCCGAACAUCCUCCGAAGUGGGCCAAACGGAUUCUACACAGCGACGUACACGUAGCCGCGUCCAAUGAGGCCAAUAUACCAUGAUGUCCAUGUGAAGUCACUUGGAUCAAGGUUGAAAUGGGGGUGAAUCCACCUUACGGGCGAUGUGACGUGGACUGAAGACCCAACACACGCUGAGCAAGUCCAGACUUACGUCAAAGUAUCUGCACCCAUCAGCUGUGGACUUGCACACUUGCACAUGAACUGCAGGUUAUUCUCCAUCUUGCUAUUCAUGUUUCUUCACACUCGCACAGAAAAAGCUCAACACCAAACAGAAUUUCACUACAUACUUUACGUCAGUAUUUCUCUGUAUGUGACGAAUAAACCUCCUUCCUUGGAUCUAUAAAAGGCAGCAACUGUACUUA